rnacentral:lncRNA from 1 species
ACCGAAAGAGUCCAACCCUCCUGUGCAGAAUGAGUGUGCGUGUUGACAGUCUGUCUGGGUGUAGGGCAGCAGAGACGCCCAGUUCAUCAGAUCCUGUAUGGCGGUAGGUGGUAACAGAUCAGGACUCUGCAGGAGCCUUCCUGCCAGAAGCAGGCAGAAUGGGCAGCCAUAAAAAUGAGAAGAAAAAUCCAAAUGAGUCCUGAAGCCAGCAAGCUCCCUCCCGGUUAGUGUCCAGGUUAGUGUCACCUCACUUCAACCACUAACACAGGUGCCCUGAAAACUCAGACCCACAUGGUGACAAAGAGACAAGAGGAGCUGCUCCAACAGCUGAGCAUCGGAGAAUCCUGCAGCUGCGCACGGGUGACAGCCGAGAAACUGUCAGCCACUCUAUACCAGUCAGUAGUCCAACCACAGAAGGAGAAGGAAAAAAGAAGACAACAUGAAGAGGAAGAGGAGGAGGAAGAAAGGGACAUCUAUCAUCCCAACUAACUACGUGGGAGUUUGGAGGCAGGAGGCUGCAAGUUCAAGGCCAGCCUGGACAACUUAACAAAUUCCUGGUUCAACAUUAAGAAACACCUAUUAAUAAAGUUCAAGUAAAUUUAAAA